rnacentral:rRNA from 1 species
UUAUAUGAGAGUUUGAUCCUGGCUCAGGACGAACGCUGGCGGCGUGCCUAAUACAUGCAAGUCGAGCGAAUGGAUGG